rnacentral:tRNA from 1 species
GAGGGUAUAGCUCAAGUGGUAGAGUGCGUGCUUGGAAUGCACGAGGUCCUGGGUUCAAUCCCCAGUACCUCCU